GACGAACGCUGGCGGCGUGCCUAAUACAUGCAAGUUGAGCGCUGAAGGUUGGUACUUGUACCAACUGGAUGAGCAGCGAACGGGUGAGUAACGCGUGGGGAAUCUGCCUUUGAGCGGGGGACAACAUUUGGAAACGAAUGCUAAUACCGCAUAAAAACUUUAAACACAAGUUUUAAGUUUGAAAGAUGCAAUUGCAUCACUCAAAGAUGAUCCCGCGUUGUAUUAGCUAGUUGGUGAGGUAAAGGCUCACCAAGGCGAUGAUACAUAGCCGACCUGAGAGGGUGAUCGGCCACAAUGGGAAUGAGACACGGCCCAAACUCCUACGGGAGGCAGCAGUAGGGAAUCUUCGGCAAUGGACGAAAGUCUGACCGAGCAACGCCGCGUGAGUGAAGAAGGUUUUCGGAUCGUAAAACUCUGUUGGUAGAGAAGAACGUUGGUGAGAGUGGAAAGCUCAUCAAGUGACGGUAACUACCCAGAAAGGGACGGCUAACUACGUG
rnacentral:rRNA from 1 species